rnacentral:rRNA from 1 species
CCUACGGGAGGCAGCAGUGGGGAAUAUUGCGCAAUGGGGGAAACCCUGACGCAGCAACGCCGCGUGAGUGAGGAAGUAUCUCGGGAUGUAAAGCUCUAUCAGCGGGGAAGAAAGAGGACGGUACCAGACGAAGAAGCCCCGGCUAACUACGUGCCAGCAGCCGCGGUAAGACGGAGGGGGCGAGCGUUAUCCGGAUUUACUGGGUGUAACGGGAGCGGAGACGGCGUCGCAAGUCGGAAGGGAAAGCCCGUGGCUCAACCGCGGAACCGCUUUGGAAACUGUGCAGCUAGAGUGCAGGAGAGGUCAGUGGAAUUCCUCGUGUAGCGGUGUAAUGCGUAGAUAUUAGGCGGAACACCAGUGGCGAAGGCGGCUUACUGGACUGUAACUGACGUUGAGGCUCGAAAGCGUGGGGAGCAAACAGGAUUAGCUACCCGGGUAGUC